rnacentral:misc_RNA from 1 species
UUUUUGAUGUAGCAUGAAGCUCACAAAGAGAACACACUCACACACACAGUGAAAUUUAAGAGAAAAAUACUCUGCUGGAUUUUUAUUACUGAAAACUCUAAACUGCAAUGCACAUAUUUUAGGUUAUUUAUAGAGUUUUUAGGCUCCUAACCUAAUAGGAAUAUGAAUCUAAUAAUUAGCAAGUUUAGAUAAACUAAUCUACAUUAGGAAAAUAUAGAUAAAGUAGGAAAUUAAACUAAUCCUAGCUUGGGUAGGAAAAUAUUAAUAAGUCCUUGAUGGAACAGGAAAGCCUCUUAAUUAACUCUAAACUAUUUCUACAACUACUGGAAGUCAAAACAGAAAGUCGCAGUCAAACUAGAACUACUGGAACUGAAAUUAUCCACAAAAAAAACGUAUCUGCACACUGCUGGACAGAACACCACACAGCCUGGGCGUCUGGCUGGGUCUGGUGCACUAGGGAGAUUGUGGCUUGCUGGUGUGAAGAACAUGCCCUGCAUCACACACACACACACACUCUCUCUUUAUAUAGGUGUCAAUUGUUCGAGUAGCCGAUAGAGGGUGUACGGCAAUGUUCACAAAUUGCUAAAUGGCAUAUACUUUAAUCCAAAUGCUAAAUUCUUCCAGUUUGGCAUUAAUGACCAAAAAUUCCCAGCAAAGGGAUUUAGGAUUUAAGGAAAGAUGCAAGGAGAAAAAAUCUCUCACAUGUCAUACCCUGUUCCAAUGUCCAAUUAUUAUCACAUGUAAAAAUAGGAAAAAUGUCAAGUUCAGCAACCAAAAGACAUGCACACAGGCAUGUCUGGAGAACCAAAGAAUUUUUGUUUUCAUAUAAAAAUGUGGAAAAUGUAAUUGAGCAGUCAAUGCACUCUUUUCCAUUUUCUUGUCACCUAUACAGACAUAUAUUAGUGAAUCAUUUGUGCUAUUGUCCCACCAUUUUUUUAACUGAUGAAGACUGGACAUCACAUUCUAUUUGAAUAAAUAAUUAGAUCACAGCCACAUGAUAAAUUUCAAUGGUACAAUUGAAAUCAAUAAUAAUUGAAGCCUUUGCAUAAAACACACAACUGAAUAAUGAUUAUCACCUAUUAGUUCCAUGUUUUGCCAAAACCCAUACUAAUCUGUAUAGAAAUUGAUUCCUGUUUCAAAGACCAUGCAUUGUGAAUUCAUCAUCAGCAUACACUUCUCACAUAAUCUAGCAUCAUUCCUCUAACUCAUCCAUUCCAUAAAAUAAGUUUUUCACAACUAGUUCUUUGAUCAAAAUAUAUUGUUGCUGUGCAACUGACUAGAUAAUUUAACACUAGCAAUUACAUGCAACUACUUAAUUCCAUUAUUGAUGAAUUUCAAGAAAGACCAUCUAACAGCAAAUCAAUCCAUUGCCAAGGCUAAAGAAAUGUGGUUGUGACACUCUCCUACAGAACCUUGUCACUUCCCCCAAUAAACACCCACAAAGAGUUGAACAGGAUAUUUAAUGACAAAUUUUCAAUCUCUUGGAUAUGCUUCUUAAAUCCAAACAAUCAUAUAAGGUUCUUGGUUUUUAGUGAUGGAAAAGAGUGUUUUACUGCAUAUCCCAACAACAAAUAACUGGAAAAGCAUGCAAUAUAACAAAAAAAAAUCCAAGGAGCAAACAUCCGCUAAAUCCACUAUCCCCAAAAAGAAAAUCUACUCGUGACUACAUAUAGAUUUUAAAAAGAUUUCCUUUACACACUCAUCUAAGUCAGCAGACCAGGGCCUUAGAUUCAAGAGCAAGAGUCAUAUUUCCUUCUGUGAAAGGAAAGUUAAAAGUGUAGUUGCUAUCAUAUGCUGCUUUUAUUUGCUUCAUAUCCCGUCAAUUUCAAAGAUAUUCAAGUAGAAUUUUUUUUUUUCACACCCACAUCAAGUUCUCUCUCAGCCUCUGACUUUGAAGGUUCUUGCAUCUUUUGCUCCAUUUUCAUUCGCUCUAAUUCUCAUCACAGCCUUUCUAAAGGUAUCAAUCACUUACAAUCAAGAUUAGAAAGUUAUAGAGGCAGUAGUUUUACUAGAAAACAUCCAAUACACACGCAUACAAGUAAGGAUACAGUAAGGGUAAAAUAAGUGCCAAUUGGGAGUACCAGGAAUGAAAAAAGCAGAGCAGGGCCAGCCGCGAGAAGUAAUGAGAGAUAGAGACUCUUCAUGGUUGAGCUGAUCAAACAAUUUUACAACCAAUUCACCUAACCUCAAGGGUCGGUGAUGUGGUGCGACCCAGAAAGAAGAGCCAGGAAGGAAAGGUAGCCAAUCGGGAGUAGAUUUCUGCAGCAUCACUCGCUGGAUCAUGUCCUCCAGUUUUUGCAUCAUCAACAUCUCCCCAUCAUCGUCAUCGCCACCACCACCGUCCGAUGACGAAGAGGAAGCAGAGUUAGAGGAGGAUGAUCCUUUCGAUGAUGAUAAUGCAGCGAGAUCGAUUUCAAUUAGUUGGGGCUUGGAGGAGCGGUGUCGAUGUUGGAAGGAGAGAGGGACGAGAGGUGGGUAUUUGAUCGGAAGAGAAGAGGAAUGGUUGCAGUGGCGGAGUAGGGCCCCAGAGAGAAUUCUUGCCAUGGCGAAGAAAGAGUGUGUAGAAACUGCGAAGUGCUCGUGGUAUUUUAUCAGAGAGAGGAGACUGGAGAGCGG